ensembl:lncRNA
CAGCUGACUGCACGGAGACUCUUGAGCAGAGACUUCCAGUUUUGGAUGCUUAGCUUCCAGCUGUGCGCUGCAGCCCUGUCAAUAAACAUUCAACCUUGAGAACGAGCGUUCCUUCCCUGCUGAUCUCCUGGGAAGGCUGGAGGUGAUGGAUGUCAGUGGGAGACGCACCACAAUUGCUGGUGUGCUUUGCUCAAAGCCCCCAACCCCACUGAGCUGCUGGGGAAUGCAGCCAUGCCAAUGGGUCCUCUCCAGCCCUGAGGACGGGUCCUGAUAGGGAGAGCGGGACGCAGCCAUGUCACACCCCGAGGCAGGUCUGUGUUUUUUGCAGUUAUGAAUGUCAUUCCCCAAUCCACUCAGGAGCCGGCAAUUUUCUGGCCGAGGUGGGAAGCUGCCGACAUCGUAUGAUACACGGCGAGAUUGAUUGUAUUUACUUACCCUUUAACCUAAUAAAGAAAAAUAAUGUUCCUUC